UGGGGGAUAUUGCACAAUGGGCGAAAGCCUGAUGCAGCGACGCCGCGUGGGGGAUGAAGGCCUUCGGGUUGUAAACUUCUUUUGCUCUGAACAAGGCGCACCAUGGGGUGUGUUGAGUGUAGGGGUUGAUUAGCGCCGGCUAACUACGUGCCAGCAGCCGCGGUAAUACGUAGGGCGCGAGCGUUGUCCGGAAUUAUUGGGCGUAAAGGGCUUGUAGGUGGCUGGUUGCGUCUGUCGUGAAAGCUCAUGGCUUAACUGUGGGUUUGCGGUGGGUACGGGCUGGCUUGAGUGCAGUAGGGGAGGCUGGAAUUCCUGGUGUAGCGGUGGAAUGCGCAGAUAGCAGGAGGAAUACCGGUGGCGAAGGCGGGUAUCUGGGCUGUUACUGACACUGAGGAGCGAAAGCAUGGGGAGCGAACAGG
rnacentral:rRNA from 1 species